GAUGGCUCAGUUGGUUGAGUAUCUGACUUCGGAUCAGGUCAUGAUCUCACAAUUUGUGAGUUCAAGUCCCACAUCA
rnacentral:tRNA from 1 species